rnacentral:rRNA from 1 species
UAUGGAGGGGGCUAGCGUUGUUCUGAAUUACUGGGCGUAAAGCGCGCGUAGGCGGACCUGCAAGUCGGGGGUGAAAGCCCGAGGCUCAACCUCGGAACUGCCUCCGAUACUGCGGGUCUCGAGUCCGGGAGAGGUGAGUGGAAUUCCUGGUGUAGCGGUGAAAUGCGCAGAUAUCAGGAAGAACACCCGUGGCUAAGGCGGCUCUCUAGUACGGUACUGACGCUGAGACGCGCAAGCGUGGGGAGCGAACAGG